UACGUAGGGUGCAAGCGUUGUCCGGAAUUAUUGGGCGUAAAGAGCUCGUAGGCGGUCUGUCGCGUCUGCUGUGAAAACUCGGGGCUUAACCCCGGGCCUGCAGUGGGUACGGGCAGACUAGAGUGCGGUAGGGGAGACUGGAAUUCCUGGUGUAGCGGUGAAAUGCGCAGAUAUCGGGAGGAACACCAGUAGCGAAGGCGGCACUCUGGGCCGGUACUGACACUGAGGAGCGAAAGCGUGGGGAGCGAACAGG
rnacentral:rRNA from 1 species